rnacentral:rRNA from 1 species
CUGGGUGGAUCAGUGGCGAACGGGUGAGUAACACGUGAGCAACCUGCCCCUGACUCUGGGAUAAGCGCUGGAAACGGCGUCUAAUACUGGAUACGAGACGUGACCGCAUGGUCAACGUUUGGAAAGAUUUUUCGGUUGGGGAUGGGCUCGCGGCCUAUCAGCUUGUUGGUGAGGUAAUGGCUCACCAAGGCGUCGACGGGUAGCCGGCCUGAGAGGGUGACCGGCCACACUGGGACUGAGACACGGCCCAGACUCCUACGGGAGGCAGCAGUGGGGAAUAUUGCACAAUGGGCGGAAGCCUGAUGCAGCAACGCCGCGUGAGGGAUGACGGCCUUCGGGUUGUAAACCUCUUUUAGCAGGGAAGAAGCGAAAGUGACGGUACCUGCAGAAAAAGCGCCGGCUAACUACGUGCCAGCAGCCGCGGUAAUACGUAGGGCGCAAGCGUUAUCCGGAAUUAUUGGGCGUAAAGAGCUCGUAGGCGGUUUGUCGCGUCUGCUGUGAAAUCUGGGGGCUCAACCCCCAGCCUGCAGUGGGUACGGGCAGACUAGAGUGCGGUAGGGGAGAUUGGAAUUCCUGGUGUAGCGGUGGAAUGCGCAGAUAUCAGGAGGAACACCGAUGGCGAAGGCAGAUCUCUGGGCCGUAACUGACGCUGAGGAGCGAAAGGGUGGGGAGCAAACAGGCUUAGAUACCCUGGUAGUCCACCCCGUAAACGUUGGGAACUAGUUGUGGGGUCCAUUCCACGGAUUCCGUGACGCAGCUAACGCAUUAAGUUCCCCGCCUGGGGAGUACGGCCGCAAGGCUAAAACUCAAAGGAAUUGACGGGGACCCGCACAAGCGGCGGAGCAUGCGGAUUAAUUCGAUGCAACGCGAAGAACCUUACCAAGGCUUGACAUAUACGAGAACGGGCCAGAAAUGGUCAACUCUUUGGACACUCGUAAACAGGUGGUGCAUGGUUGUCGUCAGCUCGUGUCGUGAGAUGUUGGGUUAAGUCCCGCAACGAGCGCAACCCUCGUUCUAUGUUGCCAGCACGUAAUGGUGGGAACUCAUGGGAUACUGCCGGGGUCAACUCGGAGGAAGGUGGGGAUGACGUCAAAUCAUCAUGCCCCUUAUGUCUUGGGCUUCACGCAUGCUACAAUGGCCGGUACAAAGGGCUGCAAUACCGCGAGGUGGAGCGAAUCCCAAAAAGCCGGUCCCAGUUCGGAUUGAGGUCUGCAACUCGACCUCAUGAAGUCGGAGUCGCUAGUAAUCGCAGAUCAGCAACGCUGCGGUGAAUACGUUCCCGGGUCUUGUACACACCGCCCGUCAAGUCAUGAAAGUCGGUAACACCUGAAG